rnacentral:misc_RNA from 1 species
GAUGAAGAACGCAGCGAAAUGCGAUAAGUAGUGUGAAUUGCAGAAUUCAGUGAAUCAUCGAAUCUUUGAACGCACAUUGCGCCUCCUGGCAUUCCGGGAGGCAUGCCUGUUCGAGCGUCAUUAAAAUCACUCAAGCUUAGGUUUGCCUAUUGCUUGGUCUUGAAGAUGGAAGCUAAGUAAUUAGAAUCCUCUUCGAAAUCCAAUGGCGAAGACCCUUGCUCUCCCAAGUGUAGUAAUAACUUAUUCACUGAAGGAAGCGAGUAAUCUUCCGCCGUAACCCCCAUAUUUUCUAUGAUUGACCUCGGAUCAGGUAGGGAUACCCGCUGAACUUAAGCAUAUCAAUAAGCGGAGGA